GAGUCCGUGGCCUAAUGGCAAGGCAGCGGCCUUUUAAGCCGUGAGAUGUGGGUUCAACUCCCACCGGACUCA
rnacentral:tRNA from 1 species